GCGGGCGUGGUGUAGCCUGGUUAGCACGAGGGCCCUCCAAGCCCUCGUCCCGGGUUCAAAUCCCGGCGCCCGCA
rnacentral:tRNA from 2 species